AUGUGGUACGCAGCCGCCGGAUAAUUGCGCGGGGGUGUAACAGCACACCUUUCACGCACACACGCGCACGUACAAACAAUACAAACAUCAAGAACGCGCAUGUUUUUCAACGACACGGGGAGACACACGCACGACGUACAGCAAUUUAAAGGGUUGAUGAAAAAAUUUUUCAAUAUUAUUCUCACGGUUUUCUCACAGUCUCAUUUACACACGCGGGGUGUGUUGUUUUACACGGAACGAAUGGCACGACAAUGGGAUUUCGCCAGCAGACGGUUAUACCAGUCGAUUUAUAUCAAUUAUCCGUCAACGCCUCGCACCGACGGAGCUCCAUAUGCAGCAUGGGUCGUAACAACGUUUUUUCAUCGAUGAAUAUUUAUCUCCGUGUUGGGGGUGGUAUUAGUAGUUUUACUCCCUCUAUUCUUUAUUCUGUUUCGAGAGGGCACAAGGGUUCAAGGCCAAGAUGAAAAAACUAUAUAAGACCAGCGGCGGCAGCGAGAUUAACCCGGAAAUUUUGUUUUAUCUUUACCUUCCUCAAAAGGUAAGCUACCGUUAUUCGAAAUCACUGGUACGGAGUACAUCAUGGCUACCAUAUGGAACUGCAGUUAAUUAAAUGUUACAAUCUGUUGUACCAACGGAUACCUAUGUUACCGUGAUAACCGGAAAUCGAAAUUGACUUCGCGGUGACGGGAAUUAUCUUUAUCCAGAAACAUAAAUCUUCUUUGUAAUGUCCGUACAUUUAAUGUUUUUCCAUGU